AAGCCCUGAAAAGACAAUUUGAUACGCUGACUUUUAACUAACUCAGAACAAUGAAUGUAAAUCAGGAUGAAGAAUGAGAAACAAUACUGAACUGCCUCUAAACUGGCCAUGUCUACUAAACUAGAGAGAAUGGCUCUUCUUAUCUGUUAAAAUUGGUGGAUCUGGCAAAACAAAACAAACUAAAACAAAGGCUCCCCCAAAUCCCAACACAACAAUUCAUCGGUGCUUCCUCGAGGAGUGUUGGUAGUUUCUGACGUGGCACUAGAAAUCACUCCACAAAGAGUGGGUUUCUGUUCAGUGCUGGGGUCAGCAAAGGCAUUCUGCUUAGAGAACUUCAAGGCUAAUAUCCUACUUAUACAGAAGGAAAAAUAGCUUUGUUGUGAAUCCUAUCAGGUAAAUAAACUACUCACUUUUUUUUUUCCUUUUUUUUUUUUUUUUCUCUAUUUGGAAUGUUAAAUUCUCUUUCAGAUUUGGUGUUCAAAUUAAUGCAUUAUACCACACAGGCUGUCAGUAUCUUUUUGCCAGCCUCAUAAUAUUUUACUAUCAUAGAAACUUAAUUGUUGAAGUGGAAAAUUCUGGGCUCUUGGAGGUACUGAAGUAAAGAAGGGAAAAACAGAUAGUGAUAUUGCCUUGAUAUAAUCUGUUACUCAGAUAAGGUGAUUGCCUUAGGCUAGGUGUCUGAUUAACACUGAUAUUUAUUAAAAAGUUGGAUUUGCAUAAAAUUGAAUUGAAAUAAGACAAUUUUGCUAGUAUGUCCAAAAUAAUAUACACAGUCUGAAGACAAUAUUUACAUGUUCUGAAGGAGAUAAACAUCUUAAUGGGUCUCUAAACUAUAGAGUUAUCUCUGUAAAACUUGACCUCAGGUAACAGAGAAAUAACUACAGCCUAGUUAUGCAUGUUCAUAUCCUACUGACAUAUACGUAUGUCAGUGUGCUAUGUAUAUACUCUAGUCCAGAGUUUGGCACUGUAAUGGUUUUGAUCUCGUGACUGUAAAUUUAAUGAGAGAACUUUUCAAUUGGUGCCAGGGGGCGAAAUCAUGUCCACAAUACUUCCAGUAUGGUUAAAAAAAAAAACAGACAAAAAACCCCUCUAGUAUUUGCUCUCAAAACCUUUUAAUAUUUAUAUUUACCACUUUAAAACUUCAUAACAAAGAUGUAAAACAAAUAAAACUACAUUCAUAUUAACGCUAUUUUAAAUACAGAAACAUAUCUACCAGAUUUUUCAGGGUUAAGAAACCAGUAAAAUAAGAGUGCCCAUUCAAUCUCUAUUUUACUUUUGUGUCUCGCGUUCGUUAUCAUUCAAAAAAAAAAAAGUUCAAAAAAAGUUCUCUUAAUUUGAAAUCGGCUAUAAAGAAGAACAAAAAUAUAGCGAAAAAAGCUGAGAAUACCAUCUGAUUGUCUUGAUUGCACCUUGCACUGGGGUGCAUGGUCUGUCUCUAAAUUCUGACUCAUCUGCCACCAGCAGGCUUUAAGGUGAUAAUCACCCACACAGAGCUAUUUGCACAUCAUGUCUAUCUUAUCCUGUAUCUAAUUAUACCCUUUAUAACAAACUGUUUAGCAUAAUUAGUGGAGUUAUGCUUUACAGGAAUAAAGAUAGAAGCUAUAGGUUAGAAGAUUCAAGUUUUUGAAGGCAUACAUGUACAAAUUAGUUACUUUGGUAUGUGGUCACAAUAACGAAUACUUUGAUGUGUUGGUCUAUGUGAAAUUAUACAAUGAUUAUUUUAGCAACUAAAACAAUGCAGUUCUCAGAAUAUUAAAAUACUGUAUGUAAGCACUGUUGAUCAUAAAAGCUUAAAUUAUGAAAUGGUUUUGGGACUCAUUAAUUGCUAACACUCUCACCAGUAUUUUUUCAAACAUGGCUGAAAAAUGUUGAAAGGGUCAGUGCUAGAAUCAAGAAUGCUGGAAAUGACAGGAGAACCUAUUACUCAAUUGAUAGACAACAGCAGGUACAAAUGACCUUAAUGGGAAAGCUCUGAUUUAUUUUUUUCUAGAUGAUCAGAAAGGAUGUUUACUUAAUGACCACUCUUUCUUUGUGCUCAAACUUUAAUGAUGAGCUGCUUUAAUACAAGAUCCUUUGUAUUCAGAAUGAUUUUUUGAUCCAGAAUGAUAUGUAUAUAUGCAUGCAGUUAAAUAUAUUUUAUUUCUCUUGGGCAUGCUUUCAUUGCAGUCUUAAGAGUGUCUAAUGAACAUUGGUUGCAAUGGCAUGUUAUUUGUAUGCUGGCAGUUUAGUGUUUAUUCCUUCCCUCCUUCCUGUCCCUGUCUUACAUACGAGGAAAAGCUCGAAGCACACAAAAGCCAAUACCCCCAUAGUACUGUUCGCUGUCAGGCAAAAUAAAACCUCAACUGUAUCUCCUGAGAAUAACUUCCUGCCCUCAGGUGGGGAGGAGCACUGCUGAUAUGAACACAAAUAUUGUAUUAAUAUAGACAAAAGAAAAAAUCAUGCAGAAUCCAUUAAAGCAGCCACAACUAAUUAAUCUUGUUUGGUUUUAUGUAUUAAUUGUACUUUUGUUAAAUUCUUUCAGAGACCAGGAUAAAUUCAUGGUUUCUAUCCUUGUUUAACUGAUAAUUCUGCUAUUUCUAUCCUAUAGGAAAGAUGUUCAAAACAUUGUGCGAGAAGAGCUAUUUUUCCCCUGAGCUAUUUAAGAAAUAAAGCAUGAAAAAAACAAGCAGAUUAUCAGUAUUUACUUGUGCUCAUGAAGAGAUGCUCAUGCUCCAUCCUUUCCAGGUAGACAAAUAAAUUUGUUGAAUUCUAGCACAUAUUACUCCAAGAUGUUUACAGAGUAUUUAAGAUAAAGCAUAGACUUGAAGUAAUUCUUGUAUUUCCUAUGGCAUGUCAAACAGGAUUUUCUCCAUUAUUAAUAGAUAAAUGGUACUAAUCACCCCAGUGUAAAACACAAAGAGGUCAACAUUGCAUCCUUUCAGGUCACCAUUGUUUAAAAGGCAUUUGAGUUUCCCUAUUAAGUUUUCAAAGGCCAACAUCUGCUGAUGCUCAGAAAUGGUAAAUGUGGUGACAAAGGCUGUAUGGAGUGUGAAGUGAAAACAACCAUAUAGUCCAUGCAACAAGAUACUAAGAAACUAUAGCACAACCAUACUUCGAAGACCUAUUUUCCCAUUCAUCCCAUUUCUGUUAUUCAUAGUAGGAUAUUCCUGAUAACACUGACAUAAGCUUUUCUCUUUCAUUUAGUUCAUUGUUUUGGGUUGUAAAAUAUGUAUAUAAACUCAAGGUUUUGAAAAUAGCAUAUCUUUAUGCAUUUGCAUUCAUGCUAAUAUCAACGGAGAUACUAAAGGAGGAAAAUUAUUAGAAUUGAAGGCUUUCAUUUGCAGGUCCUUGUCAUUGAUGCUGUUUUGCUAUUUAAAACUACAAAACACGUCAUGGCAUUCAGCUGUUAGCACUGUUCUUAUUUAUAAGCAGGAUAAUUUUGAUGACCUUUAACUUGAUGUCUAGAGUUUAACAAAUCAGUGCUGUUCAUGAGCUUCAGUAAACUGAGUUGAUUUAUAAAUUGACAGACCUGACCGUGCAUCAUAAGAAGCAAGGCACUUUUACCCAAAUUAGUGGAAGAUUUUUCAGCUGGAUAUCAGCACCACAGGAGGCUCCAGCUCAGAAAGCCAUGUUACAGCUCGGAACUGGGAAGGCAAACAGGAAAUCCUUCUAUCUUCACCUGCUUCUUCCAGUUUUCCAUAAAUUGCUACUGGUGAGCACUGCUGAAGUCAGUAUUUGAGGCAUGAGGAGCACUUUGGUCAGCCCAAAUAAGCAUCGUGUUCUGUUUGACUUAAUCUUGUCCAGGACGAGGAAAUGCAGCUGCCAAUAACUUCCUUUGGAUGAUAUGAAAGAGUUCUGGAAUAGUAUGUGUGGAAUGGGGGGGAUUUCUGGUUUGUUGGAGGGACAUCGCUCUGAGACAGCAAACUGAUCUAGGCAGAAAGAAAUGCUGAGGGAAAGCUGAAGUUCCUAGGGCUCUGGAAGACUGCUGCAUACUGGUGAGGAAACUGAGGUGGGGGAAAAUAAGUGUAGAUACAUCUGCUAACUGGUGUCAAUGUACAUGGCUCUUUUAACAAGCACGUGAAAGUAAAUCGGUUGUAUCAGAAAAUCCUGUACAAAGUCUGUUUGCUCUGCUUCUACUUUGUUCCUGAGGAGCUGACCCUACUACCCUUGAGCAGCUAGGUUACCUAUGGGGGGAUACAGGCCUUGAGACAGCUGUCUGCCUGAAGGGAAUGGUGGCUGUUAAGUCUGAUCUGAGAGCAUGGGAUGGAAACUGGGGGUGAAUGGAAGAUAAGAAGCCCAGGUGUGACAUGCUUGUAAGGAUGCAACUGAGGAGAAGGCUUACACCUUCUCCUCCUCUGUACAGAAACCACUGGCCAAGACACAUCACUGCAAUCACUCUGAAGCGCACCUUCUUACACAGUGCUGCCAUUGCUGUGCGCUACCAGAAAGAGAAAAGUACCUGCAGGUUGCUCCGCACGAGAGCUGCAGCAUCCCAGCUAUUGUUCUCUGCCGUGUUCUGAUGGAAGCUCAUUCUGAUGUUUCUCAUAAAGGGUGGGUGGCCAGAGCUAGGCAGUCCCGUUCAUUUAUCAGAUGCAGCUGGAAAGGAGCGCACAGACCUCAGGUAGGGAAUGGGAGAGGAGACCUAGCUUCUGGCAUUGGCCUUGGAGCAGUGAGCAGGAGACUCGCAUGGACACACAUGUACGCCUGCUGGUUGCAGUACCACCACCAAUGCUGACCGCUUUUCCUCCAGUGCCAGAACAGUUCUGCCCGUGGGUUUAGAACUUGCCCUCGCCCCAGAUUCACGUGCUAUGGGACAGGAGACAGUGCAGGUCUGUGUGAACUGGGGUUUAUGAUACUGCUUUGAUAUUAUUCCCAAAGUUUAAGUGACAAAGGACCUGUAGUUUCAAACCAAGGACUUAAGGCUGUGACCUAAUGUCAAAUUAGAAUAAAACAGAGAUUGCUUUUGGCCUUCAAGUGCACUGAAAUAUUUAUUAUCCAUGUUUGUUUUAAUAAAUUUUGGGUAAAUCAAAGAAUGUUAAAAAAGAAGCUGGAGCUAAACUGCACUGUCCACAGAGGGGGUCAGGAGUAC